rnacentral:lncRNA from 1 species
GGGAAAUGCACAGCGUUGAACUUAAAAAGCAAAAGCCAAUGAGGAGCACAAACUUUAUUUCUUCUUACAACAACCAAAAUCGUUUUUAUUUGAGAAAAGCCACCAGCACACCUUCACAGCAGAAAAGAUACACCAAAGUAAUGCAGGUCAGGGGGUCAAAGGUGAAGGGUCACACAUUAUUAAAAAGAAAUCCAAAAGGACGUCUGCAUCAAGAUCUCUCAUUAGUGUUCCAGCGGUGCCUCUCCUUGGGUAAACUUGAACAUUUUGGUAGACAUUCGAGCAGCUUCUUCGGUAAAAAGAUUUUUACAUGACUGCCAUUGCUGUUCCCAUGAUCAUCUUUUUGUUCUACCCAGCAUUUCUUCAAGAGCACUGUCAUCUCUGGCUUUGGCAUCCUACUCAUCAUCUACGAAUUCAUGUUGCCGUUUCCUUCCGCGGGAUCCGCGCCCGCCGCCGCGCGCCGCACUUCACGGCUCCCGGGGCGGGGCCUGCCCGCG